AUGCCUGAGCUGCACAAGAUAUGUGGGGAGUCCACUUCGCCUCUAUCAAUGCUGCUUCGGAAGGAGAUGGGCUCUUUAGGGGCCUUGCCAAUGCCCACGACGCCCUCACCACCACCGUUGGAUCUGAGCCAAAAGCUCGUCUUUGUUGACCAUGAUGGUGUGGAUGCUACUGUUACUCACACUCAUCUGGACAUUAGGUGGAUGGUGGCUGUGUGUGGUAAAGUUGAUAGGGUUGGUGCGAUGUCACCUAAUUCAAAGACUCUCUUCACAACAGAGCUUUGCAACUUGCUUGCCAGUUUGAAAGCGGACUAG
rnacentral:rRNA from 1 species